rfam:Mustela putorius furo unplaced genomic scaffold scaffold00037, whole genome shotgun sequence.
AUUAGAAGACAAGCCAACCCCUGAACGCGCCUGAUCUCGUCUGAUCUUGGAAGCUAAGCAGGGUCGGGCCUGGUUAGUACUUGGAUGGGAGAAAACAAGCCAACAUCUGGGA